rnacentral:rRNA from 1 species
AACGCAGCGAAAUGCGAUACAUGGUGUGAAUUGCAGAAUCCCGUGAACCAUCGAGUCUUUGAACGCAAGUUGCGCCCGAAGCCAAUAGGCCGAGGGCACGUCUGCCUGGGCGUCACGCAUCGCGUCUCCCCUGCACACUACGCCCAAACCAAGGGAAGCUCUGAUGCAUGGGAUGGAUAUU